CAGUCGCCGCGGUAAUACGAAGGGGGCUAGCGUUGUUCGGAUUUACUGGGCGUAAAGGGUGCGUAGGCGGAUUGUUAAGUCAGGGGUGAAAUCCCGAGGCUCAACCUCGGAACUGCCUUUGAUACUGGCGAUCUUGAGUCCGGGAGAGGUGAGUGGAACUGCGAGUGUAGAGGUGAAAUUCGUAGAUAUUCGGAAGAACACCAGUGGCGAAGGCGACACACUGGCCCAUUACUGACGCUGAGGCUCGAAAGCGUGGGGAGCAAACAGGAUUAGAGACCCCCGUAGUCCCUGUCUCUUAUAC
rnacentral:rRNA from 1 species